rnacentral:rRNA from 1 species
GAUGAACGCUAGCGGCAGGCUUAAUACAUGCAAGUCGAGGGGCAGCAGGACGGUAGCAAUACCGUUGCUGGCGACCGGCAAACGGGUGCGGAACACGUACGCAACCUACCCAUAACUGAUGAAUAGCCCUCCGAAAGGAGGAUUAAUACAUCGUAACCUCUUUUGGUGGCAUCACCAGAUGAGUAUAGCUCCGGCGGUUUUGGAUGGGCGUGCGCCUGAUUAGGUAGUUGGUGCGGGUAACGGCCCACCAAGCCUUCGAUCAGUAACUGGUGUGAGAGCACGACCAGUCACACGGGCACUGAGACACGGGCCCGACUCCUACGGGAGGCAGCAGUAAGGAAUAUUGGUCAAUGGACGCAAGUCUGAACCAGCCAUGCCGCGUGAAGGAUGAAGGUCCUCUGGAUUGUAAACUUCUUUUAUCUGGGACGAAACCCCCGUUUUCUAACGGGAUUGACGGUACCAGAGGAAUAAGCACCGGCUAACUCCGUGCCAGCCGCCGCGGUAAAAC